UGCUUGUCUCAAAGAUUAAGCCAUGCAUGUCUAUGCACAAGCCAAAUUAAGGUGAAGCCGCGAAUCGCUCAUUACAACAGCCAUAGUUUACUUGAUCUUAAAAUCCUACUUGGAUAACUGUGGUAAUUCUAGAGCUAAUACACGCACCAAAGCUCCGACCGUAAGGGAGGAGUGCAUUUAUUAGAACAAAACCAAUCGGGCUUCGGCCUGUGUUUGGUGGAUCUGAAUAACUCAGCUGAUCGCAUGGUCUCGUACCGGCGACGUAUCUUCCAAGUGUCUGCCUUAUCAACUUUUGAUGGUAGUUUAUGCGACUACCAUGGUUGUAACGGGUAACGGAGAAUAAGGGUUCGACUCCGGAGAGGGAGCCUGAGAAACGGCUACCACAUCCRAGGAAGGCAGCAGGCA
rnacentral:rRNA from 1 species